GGGAUAGUAAAGGUUUCGACAGGGGUCUUGCAGCUGGAGAAGCUAUCCGCAGGCGAUGCGUCAAAUCGCAAAAAUAAAUAUAAACGCUGAAGAUAAUUUAGCAUACGCUGCCUAAUGGCAGCUGUCCGACUUAGUGCACCUACACGUUAAGAAGCGGGCAUCGACUAUGUAGGAAACGACACGGACAAAGCUUUGAGCCCGUGGGCGUAUUAUGAAGCUACUGAAUACAUCGGGGUGUCAAUUUCCUGAUGUAGGAGGGAAUGUGGGGUAACCCGCAAUAAUUGACUAUGAUAGUAGAAGGACAGGGAAUGGGUCUUUGGACGCGGGUUCGACUCCCGCCUAUUCCAUUU
rnacentral:tmRNA from 1 species